GAAGCUCAAAUGUCUACUGCAGAUCCUCCUGCAUGGUGUUCUCCAUUAGGCUCCCUUGGCUGAAGUAAAAUUUCUGUAGCCCAUCUAGUGUUCUGUCUGUGGCAGUUAUUAUUUUUUUAAGUCAUUCAGGACUUCUUGCUUUGUGAUUUUGGUCCAUAAAUCUGGAAUACUACCUUUCCCUGUAAAUUUUUUGCCAUAAUUGUGUUCUAGCUUUGAUCUGAAAUGACAGACAAACCAUUUCCAAUAUGGCUGGGUAGAUGAGUCUGGGGUGAUGCUCCAUGUGGCAUAAUCACCUCCUGCGUCUCGAUAUUUCUUGUAUUUGUAUCUCCAGCGGUCAUUUAAAAUGAAGCAAAUAUUACUUGCUACAUUACUAGUACAAACAUUAAUGUCGAACUGGUCUGUUUUAUGCCAAUGCCAACCACUGACAGCCUGAGGACGGUGGAAUGGCACACUGUGGUCUCCUUCAUGCUGGGGAAUGGUGUUUGUACAAAUUGCCUUACAAAAAGGACACUGUUUCCAACAGCCACAGAGAUGUUCAGAGAGAAUUUCCUCAAUGUCAGGAACAAUUUCAUCUAUGUGCUUACUUGAACAAUCCUCUUCUAUUUCCCUCAUUGCAGGAUCCAAAGCUUUGCUCAUGGCUUCUUUGAGGAACUCAGUAUCCAUUAGCUCCUGGUGCUCUAUGUUUACCAGGUCUCUCCUUGGGAAGACCAGGUUGCUCCCUAGGUGGUCACAGAACAAAUCCAGCCAGCCAGAUGCAGUGCUGCCUUUAGCUUUAGCUACCUUUGUGGACUUAUGAAUGGCAGACAGGAUGGUAUUCUUGAUGUCACCUAAACUUAUGUUUAAAAAAGUUUUUAUUUUUUCACUCUCUUUUUCUGAACAGUAUCUUUUAAUGUGGUCUCUAAUAUAAUCCCUGAAAAAUUCCUCUGGCCUUUGAAUGUAUUUCCAGUAUUUAUCAAAAUUUUCUUCUUCUGCUAG
rnacentral:lncRNA from 1 species